CCUGGAGUAGUGAAGUUUUUGAGACUCGAUGCUCACACCUCGUGAGUGUGGUAUACCUUGGAGCCUCAUAGCCAGCGUCCCUUCUGAAACCGUAGCUGAUGCUGAGACAACGUGGAACCCCCUGGAGAUCUGCUGAAGGUCUGUGAGGUCACCUGCAGCCACCGAGGAGCUUCUUGUGGUCUUGGCUUUUACCUCGAGGUUUGUGGCCAAGCAUAGAGAGGCAGCUUUCACCUUCAAUGAAGGCAUCUGGGGCUUAGCCAGGAUCGAUCUGUGCUCGACUCCCUGUCUGCCAAACAACCUUGGAAUCCAUUGUGGAUGGACUAGAGCAGGGUUCAUGGAGAAGAUGCUACUGCCUGCCACAGGUUGCGUGACACUAGCAGUUUAUUCUCCCUCUGAAACUCAGCCUUCAGGACCGGAGAGAUGGCUCAGCGUUUAAGAGCACUGGCUGUUCUUCCAGAGGUCCUGAGUUCAAUUCCUAGGAAACACAUUGUGCCUCACAACCAUCGGUAAUGGGAUCUGAUUCCCUCUGCUGGUGUGUUCGAAAACAAGACAGGUCACUCAUACAUAAAAUAAAUAUUAAAAAAAUAAUAAUAAACACUUGAUCUCCUUGUCA